AUGCAAGUCGAACGGCAGCACAGGAGAGCUUGCUCUCUGGGUGGCGAGUGGCGGACGGGUGAGGAAUACAUCGGAAUCUACUCUGUCGUGGGGGAUAACGUAGGGAAACUUACGCUAAUACCGCAUACGACCUACGGGUGAAAGCAGGGGAUCUUCGGACCUUGCGCGAUUGAAUGAGCCGAUGUCGGAUUAGCUAGUUGGCGGGGUAAAGGCCCUACCAAAGG
rnacentral:rRNA from 1 species